GAUGAACGCUGGCGGCGUGCCUAAUACAUGCAAGUCGAGCGAACGGACGAGAAGCUUGCUUCUCUGAUGUUAGCGGCGGACGGGUGAGUCACACGUGGAUAACCUACCUAUCAGACUGGGAUAACUUCGGGAAACCGGAGCUAAUACCGGAUAAUCUUUUGAACCGCAUGGUUCAAAAGUGAAAGACGGUCUUGCUGUCACUUAUAGAUGGAUCCGCGCUGCAUUAGCUAGUUGGUAAGGUAACGGCUUACCAAGGCAACGAUGCAUAGCCGACCUGAGAGGGUGAUCGGCCACACGGGAACUGAGACACGGUCCAGACUCCUACGGGAGGCAGCAGUAGGGAAUCUUCCGCAAUGGGCGAAAGCCUGACGGAGCAACGCCGCGUGAGUGAUGAAGGUCUUCGGAUCGUAAAACUCUGUUAUUAGGGAAGAACAUAUGUGUAAGUAACUGUGCACAUCUUGACGGUACCUAAUCAGAAAGCCACGGCUAACUACGUG
rnacentral:rRNA from 1 species